AUGCUGUGGCAGACUCAGCUCCUCUGGCUCCUCGUGCUCUGGGCAAAGGAUUCCAGUGUGGACAUCCUCAUCAAUCAGACUCCAGAGUCCCUGGUUGUGUCCCCAGGAGAAACAGUCACCAUCAAGUGCAAAACCAGCUCCAGUGGCAGUGGCAGCAUGCACUUGUACCAGCAGAAACCAGGGCAGGCUCCAAAGCUGCUGCUCUAUGGCACAAACAGCCGUCCCUCCGGGGUCCCCGACCGGUUCAGUGGCAGUGGGUCUGGCACCGACUUCACUUUCACCAUCAGCCGGGUAGAAGCUGGGGAUGCUGGAGAUUAUUACUGUCAGCAGAACUGGGAUUCCCCUCGGCACAUCUACAAAUUCUAUCACUACUCCGCACACCUUGAGCGCCUCCUCUCCAAGCAGGCUGGCCUGGCACCAGCCCAGCCAAGACAAGCUCCUGCCCUUGUCAUUCCAGGCUCCUGA